UACGUAGGGGGCAAGCGUUGUCCGGAUUUAUUGGGCGUAAAGCGCUCGCAGGUGGUUCAUUGCGUCGUGCGUGAAAGACCCCGGCUCAACUGGGGAGGGUCGUGCGAAACGGGUGAACUAGAGGCCAGUAGGGGGAUGCGGAAUUCCGGGUGUAGUGGUGGAAUGCGUAGAGAUCCGGAGGAACACCAGCGGCGAAGGCGGCAUCCUGGACUGGUCCUGACACUCAUGAGCGAAAGCGUGGGGAGCGAUCCGG
rnacentral:rRNA from 1 species